rnacentral:lncRNA from 1 species
CUCCAUAGACUCCUCCAAAACUCGGGCGUAGCGCCGCUCUACCUAACUCUCAACUAGAACUAAUCUACUACAUUGGAAAGCCUAGCCCUAAUUCUCUAGAGGUGAGAGGUCAUCCAUUCGAGGGACGCCUCUACAUCUCCAUAAUGUGGUGCCCUCAGGGAGGGUGGGUCUGCCUCUUUACUUAUAGCCCGGUGGGAUCGACAUGCACCACAGGAUCAACCGACUUCACCAAAGGCCAAGAUGACUCCUCGUAGGCGGUGGAGGAAGCUUCUAGAAGGGGGGCUGAAACCCUAGCAGGGGGGCGCCGGCCGACGCUAGGGUGGGGCCGGCCGGCCCCACCUGGCGGCCUCUGGCUCCCCGGCUAUUUGAGUGCCUUCCAGAGUCUUCCCACGUCUCGUUUGCGAUAUUGUCGUGGCGGAUAAGUUUUGUAUUUAUUUUGCACUAGAAUCCCUC